rnacentral:lncRNA from 1 species
GGCACUCUUCCUGGGUGGUUCUUCUCUUACCCAUGACUGGAGCUUUCUGGUACUUUUACCCACCAUCCUGGGAUUCUUUGCCUCCCACCACAUGGAUGAUUGGGGGUUCAGAAUGUCGAAAAGAGGCUGGGGAGGACACACAGAAUACCCUGUCACCAGGCCUAGGAGUAGGAGCCAAAGUUUGUACUCAUAGCUAUUGACCAGAACUAGUCACAGGCAAGACUAGGAAAUAUAGGGAGCCCAUCAAUAUUCAUUAGGAUUUACAGUCUCUUCCACAGCAGCCCUUUUGACUGUUCCAGAAAGUGACAGCCCUGAACAUGUUGGUGAUAACCUGUUAUCCUCCUAAACAUUUGAUCCCCAGCAACUCUGUGAAGUAUGCCCUGAGGUGUAAUCUGUAACAUAUUGCAGAGUUAGGAAGGAUUCAGAAUAGCCCCCAUUCUACAAAAUUGGUCCUAAUUUUAUGGGAGCACAGAGAUAAAAAUUAAUUUUCUCAUCAUUUCAUUUGAAACCCUUGAUGAAAUUCUGAAAUUACAUUUUAACUUAGUUCCAACUCAGAAUUUAAUUGCCCUUUUCAAGUUAUACCUAUACAUUGCUGUGGGCAAUGAUGAACCAUCUUAAAAAAAAUUAAAAAGAUGGGUCAGGAGGCAGAAGACGUGUGCUGUCAAUCAAUCCAUAUCCCUAACUGGCUGUGUGGAUUUGGAAGUAUUGCCCUGCCUGGGCUCCCUCUCCUCAUCUGUGAGAAAAUAAGCAAAACAUUAAAGGCUGGGGAGAAGGGAGUUGAAAUAGAUGAUUUCUGUGGCAUCUUCCACCUCUGGUAUUCCAUGGAUUGCUGUUUUUUUAAUUUUUAGUUUUUAUAUAAUUUUUAAAGGUUACUUUCCAUUUAUAGUUAUUACAAAAUUAAUGACCAUAUUCCUUGUGUUGUACGAUACAUCCUUGAGUCUAUUUUACACCAAAUAGUUUGUAUGUUCUACUCUCCCACCCCUAUAUUGCCCCUCUCCCCCAACAUGUAACCAUUACUUUGUUCUCUAUAUCUGCAAGUGUGCUUCCUUUGGUUAUAUUCACUAGUUUGUUGUAUUUUUUAGAUUCCACAUAUAAGUGAUAUCAUACAAUACUUCUCUUUCUCUGUCUGUGUUAUUUCACUUAGCACAAUGCCCUCCAGGUCCAUUUAUGUUCCUGCAAAUGACAAACUUCUAUUCUUUUUGAGGGCUGAGUAGUUUUCCAUUGUGUGUGUGUGUGUGUGUGUGUGUGUGUGUGUGUGUGUGUGUGUGUACACCAUGUCUUCUUUAUCCAUUCAUCUGCUGAUGGACACUUAGGCUGUUUCCAUGUCUUGGCAAUUUUAAACAAUGCUGUUAUGAAUAUUGCCUGUAUCUUUUCAAAUUAGUGUUCUUGUUUUUUUGUUUGUUUCAAAUAUAUAGCCAGGAAUGGAAUUGCUGGGUCAUAUUGUAAUUCUAUUUUUAGUUUUUUAAGGUACUUCCAUACUGUUCUCCAAGUGGCUGUACCAAUUUACAUUCCCACUAACAGUGUAGGAGUGUUUCCUUUUCUCCAUACCUCCUCCAGCAUUUAUUUGUAGACUUUAUAUGCUAGCCAGUCUGACUGGUAUAAGGUGAUACCUUAUUGUAAUUUUGAUUUGCAUUUCUCUUAUAGUUAGUGAUGCUGAACAUUUUUUCAUGUACUGUUAGCCAUUUAGUAUGUCUUCUUUGGAGAAAUGUCUAUUUAAGUCUGCUUAUUUUUUGAUUGGGUUGUUUUGUUUUGACAUUGAAUUGUAUGAGUGUGUAUAUUUUGGAGAUUUAUUCCUUCUUGAUCACAUCAUUUGCAAAUAUUUUCUCCCAUCUAUAAGUUGUCUUUUCAUUUUGUUUAUGGUUUCUUUCACUGUGCAAAAUCUUUUAAGUUUAAUUAAGCCCUGUUUGGGAUUUUUUUUUGGGGGGGGGGUGGCUUUUGGUUUGUUUGCUUUUCUUUCCACUUUUUAGGAGACAGUCAAAAAAAUAUAUUGUUUUGAUUUAUGUCAAAGAGUGCUCUGCCUAUGUUUUCCUCUAGGCCUUAGACAGUGUUCUAAUUUCAUUCUUUUACAUGUAACUGUCCAGUUUUCCCAGCACAAUUUGUUGAAGAGACUGUCUUUUUUCCAUUGUAUGUUCUUGCCUCUUUUGUCAUAGAUUAAUUGGCCAGAAGUGCAUGGGUUUAUUUCUGGGCUUUCUGCCUUGUUCCAUUGAUCUAUAUGUCUGUUUUUGUGCCAGUACUAUGCUGUUUUAAUGACUGUAUCUUUGUAGUACAGUCUGAAGUCAGGGAGCCUGAUUCCUCCAAGUCCAUUGUUCUUCCCCAAGACUUUUGGUUUUUCAGAAUCUUUUGCGUUUCCAUACAAAUUUAAAAAAUGUUUGUUCUAGUUCUGUGAAACAUGCCAUUGGUAUUUUCCUAGGUACUGUAUUCAAUCUGUAGAUUGCUUUGAAUAGUGUUGUCAAUUUAACACUAUUGAUUCUUCCAAUCCAAGAACAUGAUAUAUCUUUCCAUCUGUUUGUGUCAUCUUCAGUUUCUUUUAUCAAUAUUUUAUAGUUUUUGGAGUACAGGCUUUUUAAUCUCCUUGGGUAGACUUAUUCCUGCGUAGUUUAUUCUUUAUGAUGCAAUGAUAAAUGGGAUUGUUUCCUUAAUUUCUCUUUCUGAUAGUUUGUUGUUAGUAUAUAGAAUUUCAACAGAUUUCUGUAUAUUAAAUUUGUGUCCUGUAACUUUACCAAAUUCAUUAAUGAGCUCUGCUAGUUUUUCUGGUGGCAUCUUUAGGAUCUUUCCAAGUGUAAUAUGUCAUCUGCAAAGAGUGCCAGUUUUACUUCUUCCUUUCCAAUUUGGAUCCUUUCAUUUCUUUUUCUUCUCUGAUUGUUAUGGCUAGGAUUUCCAAAACUAUGUUGAAUAAAAAUAGUAAAAGUGAGCAUCCUUGUCCUGUUCCUGAUUUUAGAGGAAAUGCUUUCAGCUUUUCAAUGUUGAGUAUGAUAACAGCUGUGGGUCUGUCAUAUAUGGCCUUUAUGAUGUUGAGGUAUGUUCCCUCUAUACCCACUUUCUAGAGAGUUUUUUUUAAUCAUAAAUGGAUGUUGAAUGUUAUCAAAAGAUUUUUUUGCAUCAGUUGAGAUGAUCAUAUAGCUUUUAUUCUUCAGUUUAAUGUGGUGUUUCACACUGAUUAAUUUGCAGAUAUUGAAAAAUCCUUGCAUCUCUGGGAUAAAUCUCACCUGAUCAUGUUGUGUGGUACUUUUAAUGUAUUGUUGGAGUCAGUUCACUAGUAUUUUCUUAAGGAUUUUUGCAUCUUUGUUCAUCAGUGAUAUUGGCCUAUGAUUUUCUUUCUUUCUUUUUUUUUUAAAUAUCUUUGUCUUGUUUUGGUAUUAGGGUGAUUGUGGCCUUAUAGAAUGAGUUUGGGAGAGUUCCUUCCUCUUCAAUUUUUUGGAAUAGUUUCAGAAGGAUAGGUGUUAACUCUCAUCUAAAUGUUUUGUAGAAUUUGGCUGUGAAGCUAUGUGGUCUUGGACUUGUUUGUUGGGAGUUUUUUAAUCAGAAAUUCAAUUUCAGUACUUGUAAUUGGUUUAUUCAUAUUUUCUAUUUCUUCCUGGUUCUGCCUUGGUAGAUUGUACCUUUCUUAGAAUUUGUCUAUUUCCUCUAGGUUGUGCAUAUUUUUGGUGUAUAGUUGCUUGUAGUAGUCUCUUAUGAUCCUUUGUAUUUCUUUGGUGUCAGUAGUAACUUUUCCUUUUUCAUUUCUGAUUUUAUUGAUUUGGGCCCUCUCUCUGUUUUUCUUGAUGAGUCUGGCUAAAGUUUUAUCAGGUUUGUUUAUUUGUUUAUCUUUGCAAACAAUCAGCUUUUAGUUUCAUUGAUAUUUUGUUUUUUAAUCUAUAUUUUAUUUAUUUAUACUGUGAUUUUUAUGAUUUCUUUCCUUCUACUAACUUUUGGUUUUGUUCAUUCCUCUUUAUCCACUUGCUUUAAAUGUAAGUUUAGGUUGCUUAUUUGAGAUUUUUCUUGUUCCUUGUCUCACUAUAAACUUCCCUCUUGGAACUCCCUUUACUGUGUCCCAUACAUUUUGAAUCAUCAUGGGUUUUUUUGUUGUUGGUGUUGUUUGUUUUUUGCUUUUUUGUUUUUUUGUGUGUGUGCCUUUUAGGGCCAUGCUCAGGGCACACAGAAAUUCCUAGGCUAAGGGUUAAAUCAGAGCUAUCACUGCUGGCCUACACCACAGCCACAGCAACAUGA